AUAGUGCUCGCUGUUGCUGGUUCGGCCGGUCAGCCAGACCGGUCGUCGUAAGAGGGAACCCGGUGCGAGCCCGGGACUGCCCCGCAGCGGUGAGCGGGAACGACCGCCGUCAUGUGCACUGGGAGCGUGCUCCCGGGAAGCGACGGCCAGUAGGUCCGCCGGCGAGAGCCGGCGGGGGUCCGCGAGUCCGAAGACCUGCCAGCGCACCGCGCACGUC
rnacentral:ncRNA from 2 species